rnacentral:rRNA from 5 species
UGCCUGGCGGCAAUAGCGCGGUGGUCCCACCUGACCCCAUGCCGAACUCAGAAGUGAAACGCCGUAGCGCCGAUGGUAGUGUGGGGUCUCCCCAUGCGAGAGUAGGACACUGCCAGGCAU